CGCGUGGCUUAGGUGAUGUUUCCGCUCCCCUAAAUUGGGAAGGACAGGUAGAGAGAGAAAUAAGAGGCGAAAUUAUUCGGUUCGUCUUCCAAGGACGUGGAAGUAUAGAGCAUUUAGAAAAGUAUAACCACUGCGAGGUACAAGGUGAUGGAAAGGGAGUCUGGCAACAAAAAAAUAUAUAUGAGAAAGGUAAUGGAUUUCAACUCUAUGAAUAUGGUAACCGGUGAUGGAAUUAAUUGACUAUGUGAUUCUUAGAGUCUCAUGAAUCAAAGAUUUUGAUACGACUGAUCUUUUUUCAAAGUUUGUCGAUUGGAACAUUUCUAUUUUGUUCCCCUCUAACUGAUUUGGUUACCCUUUCGGAUUAUUUAGACUGAAACUGGUGGGUAAUAGCUAUGGCAAAGGAAAACGAAGGUAUUGAUUGGUAUCUUUCCUCUUAGAGAUGCAGCAGAAGGGAUUGAUUUGUGUCUAUUAGUUCAGUAUUAUCUCAAGUAUUAUUUUGUUUUCUCAUUAAAUGUUCACCAGCCUCAAUAAUUUAGAACUAAAAUGUUUGAUAUUGUGACUGAAUGAAAACAAAUAUCAUUUAAGGUGUUGUAACUGUUUCUGGGAAAAGAAGCACCAAUCUCUUCUGGCAACUCCAGAUGCUCAUAAGCUACAUGGGAAGAAUCAACCUGAAUACAAUGGCAUACUAGGAACGAUUCAUAGCUGAAUUCAUAUGUGGUUUGUAGGUCUUUUUAUGAUAUUUGUCUCUUUUUUUUUUUGAGAUAUGAUGAUAAUUAUAAUGAUCCGUCACGGGAUGUUAAGCCAAUCAAGAAUUAUCUUACAAUUGGAUUUUUUAAAGGUUUUGGCAUGAGGAGAUCUCGGUUUUUAUUGUUGGUCUUGAAUUUGUGUCUUUGUGAUGCAUCAUACCAUUUGCCUAUUCUGUCAACAACAACAAAAAAUGGCAUUAAUGUAAUGAGGGUGUUUUCUUAUUGGAACUUAUUUGUGGAUUUGGGUUUUCUCUUAUUGGUAUGACAGUUGUAAUAACUGAAACUUGCAUCAGUUGGGAAUGGUUAUUUGUGACUGUUUACUUUCAUUGAAUUUUUUGAUGUCUCCCUAACUAGAUCAACCUCUCUCACUUCCUCUCGGAAUUUACUAGGUUAUAUUUCCUCUAUAUGCACAUUUCAAUUUGCUCUUUUGCAUAUUAUUAUCUGAAUUUCUUAAUUCAGAUAGACCAUCCCUUUGAUUCCUUUAGGUUAUUCUGCUUUGGUGAUUCAUUUAGGUUUCUUAAGUAGGUGGUUGAUUAAUUUUUGCAAGAAAGCAAGUGAUAUUUGUGAAGGAACCAAAUUCAAUCAUUCUUUCUUUCCCUGGGUUCGUAAUAGACCGAAAAUAUGCGUCUCAGAUUUUGAUCUAAAGACGGCUUGACAAAAUAGUUGGGAUUUUCAUGGCGGUACUUAAUUUUCUUUUGUUUCUGUACUUUUCAUUCUAUUAAUUUGCAACUACAACAAUUUAAUGUUUCAUUCAGAUAUAUUAUAAGACUGAUAUUUGCGUUAGAUUUUCAGAGAAUUCAUAGUCUUCACAACUAGACUUGAGUGGAUUGGAUAUUUGAAGUCUGCUUCGGAAGUUAAGUGGGACAUGACCUGUUAUAGAUUUUUUUAGGAUAGCUAAAAGGUGUAAGGUGCAACAUAAUUCCUAAGGCUCUUGAUAUGCUCUUUGAUGUCCUAUGGUAGCUAUUCUGUCUGGUAUGCUCUUUGAUGUUGUUCUUCACUUCUAUCUAGGAAAAGUAAUUAUGAAUCACGUGUAACUAAAUUUCAAGUGCUGCAGGAGUUAAGUUACCCAAGUUUGGUAUUUUACUGAAGAUAAAAUGAAUAAUGAACUGACUGGAUCAGCGCAAGGUGAUCGAAGGUGCAACUUUGUAAGGCGGCUGAUAUUACACUAAUUGAAAUUCUUAGAUCUUCGUGAGUUCCAGAUUCCUUCCUAAUAUGAACAAGGCAGUUGGUUACAGCGCAGAGUUCAUUAUAGUUCGGAUUUGGAUUCUGCUUAAGUUCUCUCUAUAGCCAACAUACGGAGAUUAGUGACUGCCUGAAGACAAUAAAGAUGGAGGAAGGGGUUGUGUCUAGAAAUGAUGUUACUGAUAGCUGCUCCGCUAACUGUUUCAAAGGACAAUUUUGGGCAUCCAAGAUUCUAGCAUAUUUGUCAUGGUACUAGCUUUUUAUAUUGGAUAUGUGGUCAAUUUUCCUGCUCCUUGACAUGACAUACCAAGGAGGAUGAACUGGGGGUUACAAAGAACUUGACGAAUAAAUGUCAAGGAAAAGCAUAUUUUCAUUUUGCAUCGAUCAGGAAGCGGGUAAUAUGAAAAACCUAACAUUUGAUGAAAGAUGGUUAUGAUGCUGGACUCGAAGUCUGGAAAACGUCAACAAUAGUCGGCUUGAGUACUUUGGUGAGUUGCAGAAAAUUUUAACUCCCGUGCUUAUGAUGGGAGGAACUCAUGUACAAUAACUUCAAUAUUGUUCCAAUACGAACAACUUCUGAACUUUCAUUGGCUGUUAAGGUUAAUUUGUUGAAUAACUAUUCGUUGUACGUACAUAGAUAUCAAUUGAAAUGAUCAAUCCUUUUCAUAGUGCCA